CUGCUCGCUUUGCAGGCAGCACAUAUUCUAAAACUGGAACAAUACAGAGAAGAUUAGCAUGGCCCCUAUGCAAGGAUGACAUGCAAAUGCGUGAAGUGUUGCAUAUUUUC